GGAACUUCUCUUUAUGUUUUUCAUGGAGCAUUUCAUUUGAUCUGCACCAAAUCCAUGUGUGGGCCCUGCUUUGAGGCCACGCCAUCUCCAUUCCUGAGCUACGCAUCUCUUACCGCCAGUUGAAAAUGGAGGAAGACGCUCGGGCUUCAACAGAAGCUGGGCUUCGGAAGUUCCAAUCGCCUUGAAGUGUAGUUUCUUCACUUCGGGGAGAAAUAAGGCCAU